rnacentral:misc_RNA from 1 species
UCCUAGUUAACCUAGGCAGUCUCGCCAGAGUCCCCACCAUUACGUGUUGGCAACUGACGAUAAGGGUUGCGCUCGUUGCGGGACUUAACCCAACACCUCACGGCACGAGCUGACGACAGCCAUGCAGCACCUAUAUAGAACUCCUUUCGGAAAAUUACAUUUCUGUAAUCGCGCUCUACAUUUCGAGCCUGGGUAAGGUUCUUCGCGUUGCAUCGAAUUAAACCACAUGCUCCACUGCUUGUGCGGGCCCCCGUCAAUUCUUUUGAGUUUCACCCUUGCGAGCGUACUCCCCAGGCGGCAUACUUAACGCGUUAGCUCCGAUACAGAAAGGGUUGAGCCCUCCUACAUCUAGUAUGCAUCGUUUAAGGCUAGGACUAC